ACACAGUUUGCUUUCCUCAUCAAAAAAUUCCCAAACUCCCGUUGUGUCCACGUCCUUUGUGUGCGUUCGAGAAUCUGUUAUGUGUUAUUUUUUAUCGACUUUAAAACAAAAAAUAUUUCAAAAACUUUUUUAACUUUUCAAAGAAACCAUAUAAUUCAGCUCAACCAGAAAUGGAUAAGAAAA
rnacentral:lncRNA from 1 species